rnacentral:rRNA from 1 species
GACCUCAAAUCAGGUAGGGCUACCCGCUGAACUUAAGCAUAUCAAUAAGCGGAGGAAAAGAAACUAACAAGGAUUCCCCCAGUAACGGCGAGCGAACAGGGAAAGAGCUCAAAUUUGAAAUCUGGCGUCCUCAGGGCGUCCGAGUUGUAAUCUAUAGAGACGUUUUCCGUGCCGGACCGUGUCCAAGUCCCUUGGAACAGGGUAUCAAAGAGGGUGACAAUCCCGUACUUGACACGACGACCGGCGCUCUGUGAUACGUCUUCUACGAGUCGAGUUGUUUGGGAAUGCAGCUCAAAAUGGGUGGUGGUAGCU